CGCGUAGGCGGCGCGGUAAGUCACUUGUGAAAUCUCUGAGCUUAACUCAGAACGGCCAAGUGAUACUGCAGUGCUAGAGUGCAGAAGGGGCAAUCGGAAUUCUUGGUGUAGCGGUGAAAUGCGUAGAUAUCAAGAGGAACACCUGAGGUGAAGACGGGUUGCUAGGCUGACACUGACGCUGAGGCGCGAAAGUCAGGGGAGCAAAC
rnacentral:rRNA from 1 species